CAUUUUCCUGCCCGGAAGGAUGCAUGGCCCGGGGUCUCCUGCACCUGAGGGUGGGCGGGAGGCGGCCCCGCGGGUUGUGUUGCUGGAAAAAGGGGUCUCGAUCCAGACCCCAAGAGAGGGUUCUUGGGUCUACUUCAGGGAAGAAUUGGAGGCGAGUCACAGAGCGCAGUGAAGGAAGCAAGUUUAUUGGAAUCUACUCCGUUAGAGAGUGCAAGUCCUCAGACUGCAGGAGGAGGAACUCCCGUCCUUCGGUAGUGUCACUACUUAGAGGCAGCUGUGAGGAGCUGUGAUUAAUCGUGGAAUGUGCUGAUGUGCCCACUAAAGAUGCCUGGUAAGCAGUGGCUCCUCUAACAAGUGGGCAGCUUGGAACUGGGAACGAGAGAGCCACCGAAACAGAAUGAGGGAGACAAAGAAGUGGGCAUCACCCUUAACUCCACAAGGGCUUCCCAAGGGCGCUGUACCGUACGCAGGCCCAGGACGAACUUUAUUUCUCGCCCCAGCAUCGCUGUCCUUGUCGGUGAGACCCUGGCUUUAGGGCAGACAGGACCACGUUUCAUAAGUUCAUGCUGUCCCAGCAGAGGAAUAACGCCAGAAAGUGUUCCAGUACAACCAGAGAAAGAGAGUCCAUGAGAAAUCUGCCCUUGUGAAGUUGGAAUCCCCUCAACCUCACCCCGCUGACUUGAAUGAAGCGACUGAGACGGGCUAUGAUGGAGCAGAUCCGGUUGCUCGACCUUCUCCCUUGCACCAACACAUGUAGUUAAUAGUUACUGGACAUGCAUAUUCAGUGGGUUCCAGGUACCAAACUUGUAUUGAAUGGUAUGUGCCAGACACCGUCUUGAGAUCUGGAGAAUAAAAAAAUAAAAAAAUAAAAACGAGACAUCCAGAGCACAGUCAGAGCUUUGCCCUUGGAGUCCAGGCUGGAGUGCAAUGAUGAAAUCUCAGCUGACUGCAACUUCUGCCUCCCGGGUUCAAGUGAUUCUCCUGCCUCAGCCUCCCAAGUAACUGAGAUUACAGGUGCCCACACCCGGGUAAUUUUUGUAUUUUUAGUAGAGACAGGGUUUCUCCAUGUCGGUCAGGCUGGUCUCGAACUCCUGACCUCAGGUGAUCCACCUACCUCAGCCUCCCAAAGUGCUGGGGUUACAGGCAUGAGCCACCGUGCCCGGCCACCAUUCUAAUUUCUUAAUCUUGUCUUCUUUCUCUGGCUUCAGUGGUAGAUAUUUAUUAACCAGUUUAAACAUGAGUCAUUAUUUAUAUCAAAUGUUUGGAUGUAUAACGUAAAAUGAACCUUAAUCUCUGUCAAAAAAGAUACUACUGGGAGCAUCGUUUGGCUGGGAGUCAAGAUGAGAUUGAGCUACUUUAUGGGUGUGGAAUGCCAAGUCAGAGAGAUUUGAAUAAGUAACACUUCAGCAAUAUGAGAUCUGGACAGCAUCCAGGAGCCAAGGUCCAAGAUGCUAAUAGGAGUGAUGUAGCUGUCCCUGAACAAAGGUUUGCCACAGUUUACGAGCCUCAGAGGUUAAGAUGCAAACCAGAACAAUGCUAUUGGAUGUGCAAUCCAUGAUGUUUCAUGGGGAGGUGGGUAGAUUUGGGCAACCUUGCCUUCAGUUUACUCCUACUAGCAUCAGGCUCUGUCCACCUGAUCAGCAGAGGCUAUAUGGUUCUAUUUUGUGAAAAGAUCAAGUUGGAAAUGGAGGAGUAGAGGAGAAGGUUGGAAAUCAGAAUCCUCCCACAUGUAUUCUUCCCUCCAUUGAGACAUUUUAUUUGUAUAUAUUUAUUCCUGAAAAAAAAAAAAAAAAAAGAGUCCCAGGAUUUUUUCUCCUGUGUUUUUGUCUUGUUUCUUCUCGGUCCAUGAUGCCAGUUGAGGUCAUCAGUACAGCGAAACCAAACUGGUGAGAUGGGAACAAAUUAUUCUGUCACUUUUCUAGAUCUUUUUAUUUAUUUUUUUAUUUAUUUUUUGAGAUGGAGUCUCGCUCUUGUUGCCCAGUCUGGAGUGCAAUGGCGAGCCUGGGUUCAAGACCAGCCUGGGUAACAUGGCGAAACCCCUUCUCUACCAAAAAAAUACAGUAUUUAGCUGGGCCUGGUGCAUGCCUGUAGUCCCAGCUACCUGAGAGGCUGAGGUGGGAAGAUCGCUUGAGCCCAGGAGGUCAAGGCUGCAAUGGGCUGAGAUCACGCCACUCCAGCCUAGGCAACAGAGUGAGGCCUUGUCAAAAAAAAAAAAGAGAGAGAGAGAGAUACAAGCCUUCAGAGACCCUCAUAUUAACUUCAUGGUAAAUCUGCCUCUGCUCACCCCUCCCACCUGUAGCAACUAAUAUCUUCAUUUCCAGAUUUACUCUGAAAAAACUGUGCAACUGCUUCACAUGUUUCCUCUUGAUUCACUAAUUUGUAACUCACUUACUGAAACUCUGAUGAAAGAAUUGAGUCAAAAAAUAAAUAGACCUCCUUCCCAGCCCUGGCUUGUUCAGAGCAUCUACUACAGAGGAGUCUUAAGGGUUUUGUAUGCUUAGAGUUGAGAGACCAAAUAGCUCCUGAAAACUGUAGCUAGAGGAAAUGCCAUAUGGAGACAGGCCACAAGGAGAACUCAAGCCCCUGUAAACCAAAAAUGAAAUAUUCUAAGCCCCCAAUUUACUAAACAGAUUCAACCUCCCACUUCAGCCUCCCAAAUAGCUGGGAUUACAGGCGCAUGCAACCAUGCCCGGCAAAUUUUUGUGUUUUUUGUAGAGAUGGGGUUUCGCCAUGUUGGCCAGGCUGGUCUUGAACUCCUGACUUCAAGUGAUCUGUCCACCUCACCCUCCCAAAGUGCUGGGAUUAGUGAGCCACUGCAACAGCCCUCUAACACUUAUUUCUGAAGUUUUUUUUCUUCCCUCCUUCUCGGAAGCCCCUUCCUCCCUCUCUUGUUGCCUUAAGGUACCUUCACCCUGGCUAGGCCCUAUUGUUCUUUUAUCGGUUUUUUGUUUGUUUCUUUAGCCUACAUAUGCUCUUCCACCUGGGUUAUACAAAUGCAAAGUACACCCUAGUUCCAUGCUGGGCCUUAUUAUUAACAAGAACUUUCUGAAUCUCUUAAGAUGUAGUGAAAGCAGAUAUACAUAAACUAUGUUGAAC
rnacentral:lncRNA from 1 species